rnacentral:rRNA from 1 species
GACGAACGCUGGCGGCGUGCUUAACACAUGCAAGUCGAACGGCAAGGCCCUGAUUUUGUGGUGUUCUCGAGUGGCGAACGCGUGAGUAACACGUGAGUAACCUGCCCUUCUCUUUGGGAUGACUUCAGGUAACUGGGGCUACUACCGGAUAGCAGCUCCUCCUGCAUGGAGGGCGUUGGAAAGUCUCGGCGGUUGGGGAUGGACUCGCGGCUUAUCAGCUUGUUGGUGGGGUAGUUGCUUACCCAGGCUUUGACUGGUAGCCGGCCUGAGAGGGUGACCGGGCACAUGACGACUGAGAGAGGGACCAGACGCCUACGUGAGGCAGCGGGCGGGAAUAUGGCACAGCGAGCGGGAGCCUGAGACAGCAACGUCGCGUGCGGGAUGACGGCCUGCGGGUUGUAAACCGCUUUCGCCUGUGACGAAGCGUGAGUGACGGUAAUGGGUAAAGAAGCACCGGCUAACUACGUG